GGGAAUUCGAUUGCAGGCCUAACACAUACAAGUCGACCAGUGGAUUGGAGCUUGCUCCCGGAUGCAGCGGCGGACGGGUGAGUAAUGCCUAGGAAUCUGCCUGGUAGUGGGGGACAACGUUUCGAAAGGAACGCUAAUACCGCAUACGUCCUACGGGAGAAAGCAGGGGACCUUCGGGCCUUGCGCUAUCAGAUGAGCCUAGGUCGGAUUAGCUAGUUGGUGGGGUAAAGGCCUACCAAGGUUACGAUCCCUAACUGGUCUGAGAGGAUGAUCAGUCACACUGGAACUGAGACACGGUCCAGACUCCUACGGGAGGCAGCAGUGGGGAAUAUUGGACAAUGGGCGAAAGCCUGAUCCAGCCAUGCCGCGUGUGUGAAGAAGGUCUUCGGAUUGUAAAGCACUUUAAGUUGGGAGGAAGGGCAGUAAGUUAAUACCUUGCUGUUUUGACGUUACCAACAGAAUAAGCACCGGCUAACUUCGUGCCAGCAGCCGCGGUAAUACGAAGGGUGCAAGCGUUAAUCGGAAUUACUGGGCGUAAAGCGCGCGUAGGUGGUUUGGUAAGAUGGAUGUGAAAUCCCCGGGCUCAACCUGGGAACUGCAUCCAUAACUGCCUGACUANAGUACGGUAGAGGGUGGUGGAAUUUCCUGUGUACCGGUGAAAUGCG
rnacentral:rRNA from 1 species